UCACUGCUGGCUUGUGUUCUCUUGCAGAUUUUUGUAGCUUUUCCAGCUGGGAGGGCUCAAUGCCUUCCCUCCAAUGCCCCAGCUCUCAUCUCCAAAGGCUGGACUGUAGAGUGGUGGAGCUGACUGUGCCCUGGCUUCCUGUGAACCUACCUGGGAAAAGAUACUCAUCCAUACACAUUUACUGAACACAUUCUGGACACCAUGCCAGGAUGCUGGAGAAACAAGGUGGAAAAGGUAUAGACAUCCUUCAGAGCUCACAGCCCAGUGUAGGGCCCCAGAGGGGGCUCCAAAGCUCAUGGAAGUUGUAUUUGGCUCUCCAGUGAGGAUCAAAAUGGGCCAUACUGACAACUCCCACAAGUCAGUGACAACAUUCUGAUGGUUGGCCGAACAAACAGCCCUAUGUGUGACCAGCCUGGGAUCAAGACUUCAAUGAGUUCUGCGCCUGACACGUCAUGGGCCGUGUCGGUGAAGGUGGACGGAAGAUUUCUGCCUCCAGGACCUCCUCCGCCCACACCCUGCGGUUCCCGUCUCGGGAACAGGAAGGCGCCGUCUUGGCGGGUGUCACGCACGGUCGGCAGUAUCUCCCUGGGGCAACAGCUCGGAGGGGAAGUGGCUUGUGGCAGGAAGGGGAAGAGCGGCGGGAGGAUAAAUAAGUGUCAGCGCAGCGCCCCGACAGACAGGCCGGCGCCGGGGUCCAGGCCCGCUCGGCACUCUUAUCUCCGCGGGGCCUCGGGACAUGCUCGAGAUGAGGGAAGCCCCGAGAGGCGCGACGCACCCCCCGCGCCCGCUCCUGCCACCCCACCCGGCCCCACGACUGCCUUGGUCUCGCGCGCCGAUUGUACAAAAGCGCUGGCGACUCUUUGAAGUACAUCUCCGGGUUUCCGGGAGUUUGUGAACCAAUCAGAGGACGGGUGGGCGGGCUCUCUGGGAGUCUCGCGGCUGCGCGGCGCCGCGCUGCUGUGGAUGGGGUUGGCAGCCCCCAGCAGCUUGCCCCUGUUUCUCGCCAGAGCUGCGGAGCGCCCGGCGCGGAGGAGGCGCGGUUUUCGCGGCUGGUAUCCGACCACAACCCCGGGAAGUGGAGUAGACGUGGUCCCCGGCUGCUCUCUCCUGGGCUUCGGCGCCUCUGGGUUGCGCUGAGGCCCUUGAUCCUGCAAAGCGCUCCCACCCUUAUGCACCUGUAGACCUUGUUCACUCACGUUUAGGGCAAGUAUCUACCGAGUGCCUAGUAUGUACCACUUAACUGUGUUAGAAGUGAGGAUGAUCACGUCAGGCAGGAUUCCUGCCCCUAGAAGCUCAUCUCCAGAGAGAGGGCGAGUAAGCGAUAAUUUCCAAUCAUGGUAAGGGCUGUGAAAGAAAAGGCAACACCUGUACUGCCAUUUUCUCGGUUUUCAAACACUGCCCCUAGGAACCCUAGAAUACAGAUUCUUAAACUUCUCUGUAUCGUGAUUCCUUUUGAAAAAUCUAGUAAAAUACUAUGUUCCAUAGGGAUAAUGGUUUUGUUCAGAAAAGAGUACAUGCAUUUACAAUUUCGUAUAUCAUUUUGGGGCGUUCAUGGACUUCCUGAAGUCCACCUGGGGGAACCUAACCUAGUAGGGGGCUCAAGGCAUAGACACCCAUAUCAGCCAGAGCAGCCCCUACUUUUUAAACUGUUUUGCAUAUCUCCCCUUCAAGAAAGAUUUCCUUUGAUCCAAGUGUACUGCGGGGGGUUGGGGGGAGCAGAUCACCCAGCUAGAUUGUCUAUCUGUAUUUCUAGUUCCAGCAUUCUAUUUAAGUCCUUCCCAUCAAGACUACUUUCUAGUCGCAGGUUAACAUAAGCAGACUGUAGCCACCUGCAUGGUAGUGUGAGAGGCACCGUCUUACUUAAAUCCUUGUCAUCCUUCUGGAACAUUCCCCUGCCUGUCACACUUGCCAAUUAGUUAGCAACUGCAAACAACUUAAAUGACUAUCACCAGGGGACUGGCUUAGUAAAUUUUGGUGAAGCCAUUCCAUGGUUUGCACUGUAUCAGUUGAAAACAGUGCAGUGAUUUUCCAUAUGCUAAUGUGCAAAGAUGGUCAACAUACAUUA